UUGACGUCGGGUAGUGGCGCACGGGUGCGUAACGCGUGGGAACCUGCCUUUAGGUUCGGAAUAACUCAGAGAAAUUUGAGCUAAUGCCGGAUAAUGUCUUCGGACCAAAGAUUUAUCGCCUUUAGAUGGGCCCGCGUUAGAUUAGAUAGUUGGUGGGGUAACGGCCUACCAAGUCGACGAUCUAUAGCUGGUCUGAGAGGAUGAUCAGCCACACUGGGACUGAGACACGGCCCAGACUCCUACGGGAGGCAGCAGUGGGGAAUAUUGGACAAUGGGCGAAAGCCUGAUCCAGCAAUGCCGCGUGAGUGAUGAAGGCCUUAGGGUUGUAAAGCUCUUUUACUAGGGAUGAUAAUGACAGUACCUAGAGAAUGAGCUCCGGCUAACUCCGUGCCAGCAGCCGCGGUAAUACGGAGGGAGCUAGCGUUGUUCGGAAUUACUGGGCGUAAAGCGCGCGUAGGCGGCUUAUCAAGUCAGGGGUGAAAUCCCGGAGCUCAACUCCGGAACUGCCCUUGAAACUGGUUGGCUAGAAUAUUGGAGAGGUAAGUGGAAUUCCGAGUGUAGAGGUGAAAUUCGUAGAUAUUCGGAAGAACACCAGUGGCGAAGGCGACUUACUGGACAAUUAUUGACGCUGAGGUGCGAAAGCGUGGGGA
rnacentral:rRNA from 1 species